GACGAACGCUGGCGGCGUGCUUAACACAUGCAAGUCGAACGGUAAGGCCCUUCAGGGUACACGAGUGGCGAACGGGUGAGUAACACGUGGGUGAUCUGCCCUGCACUUCGGGAUAAGACUGGGAAACUGGGUCUAAUACCGGAUAGGACCACUGCCUGCAUGGGUGGUGGUGGAAAGCUUUUGCGGUGUGGGAUGGGCCCGCGGCCUAUCAGGUUGUUGGUGGGGUGAUGGCCUACCAAGGCGACGACGGGUAGCCGGCCUGAGAGGGUGACCGGCCACACUGGGACUGAGAUACGGCCCAGACUCCUACGGGAGGCAGCAGUGGGGAAUAUUGCACAAUGGGCGCAAGCCUGAUGCAGCGACGCCGCGUGAGGGAUGACGGCCUUCGGGUUGUAAACCUCUUUCAGCACCGACGAAGCGCAAGUGACGGUAGGUGCAGAAGAAGGACCGGCCAACUACGUGCCAGCCGCCGCAGUAA
rnacentral:rRNA from 1 species